rnacentral:rRNA from 1 species
AACGAACGCUGGCGGCAUGCCUAACACAUGCCAGUCGAACGAGACCUUCGGGUCUAGUGGCGCACGGGUGCGUAACGCGUGGGAACCUGCCCUUAGGUUCGGAAUAACUCCCCGAAAGGGGUGCUAAUACCGGAUAAUGUCUUCGGACCAAAGAUUUAUCGCCUUUGGAUGGGCCCGCGUUGGAUUAGCUAGUUGGUAGGGUAAAAGCCUUCCAAGGCGACGAUCCAUAGCUGGUCUGAGAGGAUGAUCAGCCACACUGGGACUGAGACACGGCCCAGACUCCUACGGGAGGCAGCAGUGGGGAAUAUUGGACAAUGGGCGAAAGCCUGAUCCAGCAAUGCCGCGUGAGUGAUGAAGGCCUUAGGGUUGUAAAGCUCUUUUACCCGGGAUGAUAAUGACAGUACCGGGAGAAUAAGCUCCGGCUAACUCCGUG